rnacentral:misc_RNA from 1 species
UAAACAACAUGGAGGUUCUGCAAGUUUGAAAAGUUUUUGUUUCAUUACAUUUGGUGGAUUUAUAACAGAAGUUAUCGUCUAAAUCCCGGUGGAACAGAAAGAUACAGCAUUUAGAAAGUGAUGAACAAAUACCAUUGCCAGACAUGCUGAUAAUAUAGGAGCCAUCUUAACAGAACCUUAAAUCACAAUCUACGAUAAAUAUUUAGGACCCAACAUGGCAUCUAGACCAAAAUCUGCAAUUCCCAACAGGAGCAGGAGUCGAAGCUCAAGUCGGGAAGGAUCAAAAUCACGAGCUGGAAGCAAAGGUAAAGAUAAAAAAGGCAAAAAGAAAAAAGAGAAGCCACUUACUCCAAAACAAAUGAAAAAACUAAUUGCUGAACAAGUAAAAGAACUUGAAGAACUAAGAGUUAGUGUUGCGAAUUUGACAACAGAAAACACAGACCUUAAAGAGAAACUAGAGCUGAUAAUAAGAAAACUUGUGAACAAUAUUGAUGUUGAACAAUUUGAGAUUGAAAAAACGACACCUACUACAGAAAUCAAAAUGGACACAAUCAUUGACAUGAUGACGAAGUUGAUAACGAGGUUUAACUAUAGGGGGCGCAUGGAGACAAGAAUUGAGGAGCUAGAGAGUAAAUUAACUCACCAGAACAAUCAAGUGGCCAGAUUGGUGCAAAGGAACUUAGCAAUAGAGAAUGGACUAUGUGAAAUGUCACUGUGUUAUGACUUUGAUGAAUUACAUAGGAGAAUCAGUCACUUACAGUUAGAGACAUCUGAGGCUUUGACACCUUUAGGUGAUGCAAUAUACCACCCCUCCUCUCCCCGCCGCCCCACAGGCCAUCUAGUGAAUACUGCAAUAGAGGGACGCACCCCCCAAGUACAGGAAGACCUGGAGACAUUCUUACUCACUCCUCCAUCAAGAAGGUUGCCAGGGGAUACCCACAUCACUAACAUCUACAGGGAACUUAAGCUGUACUUGAUGAAGGAACUGAGCCUUGAAAAAUCAUCAGGUGCAGAUUGGCGUAUGUUAGCUCAACGUGUAAUGAUUCCUGAUGACACUAUUAACUAUUGGGUUAGUCUCCAAAUGGAGUUCCCGAUGGGACGUGUAUUUGCCGAGUGGGGUGAGAGUGAGGAUGCAACAGUUCGAAUACUACACAGACAUUUACAGUCCCCACAAAUGAGACUUGUAUUGCUAGCCAAACGAAUAUCAGAUUUCUACGAUGUAGACUAGAAUGAAUAAAGGUGGAGUAGCAUGUUAAACAGCUGAUAGAUGGCGCUUCUGCCUCAAUGAUGAUGAUGAUGAUGAGAAUAACAUCAAAAGUGAAAUAUUUGUAUUAGAGGAGGACCAGAAAAUCCUGGAAGGACCAAGGAACUGUUUACCCUAAACUAAUCUGAAAUUGAAAAAAAUUCUAAAUUACUUUCCCAGAAUUAGGUGCUGCAGCCUUUUGAACAUUAAAAAUGACAAACAACCUGUGUUUAAAAUACAUCACAAGGAUGCAAUAUGGAUAUAUUUUGACUAAAACAGGAAAAAUUUCCAUUUACAGAAAAAUCCUAGGAAGUUCACUGUUAUAAUGGACAUACAAUUAGGUUGUGUAACCCAAGAUAAGAUGAAUUAACUCACUGCAUUUCAGCCCAGCAUUUACUUUCUGAAAUAGGUUAAUCUUGCUAGAUUAAAGGCUAGACUUAUAUUGAGAACACUAAGCCAUAUGGUACUCAAUCAGACUGAUCCUGAAGUGACAUCCUUGACUGAAAAAAUUUUUUUUCAUACAUUAUUCACUUAUCCACUGGUAAUUGCUCAUACACUUAACAUGGCCCACAAGAAACAUGGAAUGGGAUGUGGGAAUCGGAAAUCCAUUGAGCCCAUGUGUAGAUGCAGUGCAUUCUUUAACCCAUUUCUAAGCAAUACUGGAUUCAUAUCUGUGAUUUUGCUUGACAAUGGGCAUUGUAUUAUAAUGUAUUAAUCAAAAUGAACAAAGUUCAGCAUUAUGUAUGUUUUGUUAUGCUGUAGUUGUACUUAUGUCAUGUAGAUGUAUGUAGUAAAUGUUGAUGUCAGAAAGACAUGUAAAUAUGAUACCCAAAUGUCUUUAUUCUGAUGCUGUGAUGGUAAUUCUUACGACAGCUUCAUAUACUGUAAACCAAGAAAAUAAUUUUUGAUUUAUUUUCACAAUUUUAAUGAUUUUCCUCAAAUUAGCAACAAAUGUUUGCGCUUUCAAGAAAAUAUGGAAAGUAACAACUUUUGCUGUUGUUAUAACAAGCGUAAUGGCUAAAUAUGAUUUAUGUUUAAAAAAUAUAAAUCAGAUGAUUUAUCUGUGUGAAAAUGAUGCCAUUGUGAAAUUUUCAAAAAAUAUCUGAAGCAAAAAUGUCUGCUCGAGAAAUUCUGUAUUUGAACGAGAACUGACCAAUCAGAGGGCUUCAUUUUACAGAUCA